CCGACGCCUCGCGAUCUCUUUCUCUCUCUACCCAUUUUCCCGUUCUUCCGACCUCUCUUUCUUUGAUUCUCUUUUCCUUCUAUUCGGUCUUAUCAUCUCAUUUCAUUCUGUUCCGUUUAGAAAAAAACUAUUGGAUGAAUAUCGCAUGAUAUUAAAAGUUUGCAAUUGAUUAAUGAUACUAAGUAUCCCAGUAAUCUUUAAUAAAUGAAGAAAAACAUGUUCAAAAUAUAGUCUUUGAAUCAUUCAAGAAUAUAUAUUAUAUCGUAUUAUUGGAAUACUCGAAUGCGAAUAUACUCAUAAUAUGACUUCAAAUAAAACUAAAUUACAGAAAUUGUGUCGUAAAAUUUUCAAGCGUAUAGUAAUCAGCUUCAGCCAAUAGAACAAGUUAAACAGAAUGAAAUUUGGUAAUAUAUAAUUCUUCGAUGGCAUGAACCUUAUCCCUCAACUUGGAUGGUCAUUUGAUCCUAAUAAAAUAUGAUUGUACAAUUUCGUUGCAAGAUAUCCAAUGAUAGUAAUAAUAAAUGGAAGAUUUUCCAAAAGCUAACAGAAUAUAAAUGCACAGAAAUUUAUUAUUUUC